rnacentral:rRNA from 1 species
CAGUCGAACGAGUUCUCGUUGAUGAUCGGUGCUUGCACCGAGAUUCAACAUAGAACGAGUGGCGGACGGGUGAGUAACACGUGGGUAACCUGCCCUUAAGUGGGGGAUAACAUUUGGAAACAGAUGCUAAUACCGCAUAGAUCCAAGAACCGCAUGGUUCUUGGCUGAAAGAUGGCGUAAGCUAUCGCUUUUGGAUGGACCCGCGGCGUAUUAGCUAGUUGGUGAGGUAAUGGCUCACCAAGGCGAUGAUACGUAGCCGAACUGAGAGGUUGAUCGGCCACAUUGGGACUGAGACACGGCCCAAACUCCUACGGGAGGCAGCAGUAGGGAAUCUUCCACAAUGGACGCAAGUCUGAUGGAGCAACGCCGCGUGAGUGAAGAAGGCUUUCGGGUCGUAAAACUCUGUUGUUGGAGAAGAAUGGUCGGCAGAGUAACUGUUGUCGGCGUGACGGUAUCCAACCAGAAAGCCACGGCUAACUACGUGCCAGCAGCCGCGGUAAUACGUAGGUGGCAAGCGUUAUCCGGAUUUAUUGGGCGUAAAGCGAGCGCAGGCGGUUUUUUAAGUCUGAUGUGAAAGCCCUCGGCUUAACCGAGGAAGCGCAUCGGAAACUGGGAAACUUGAGUGCAGAAGAGGACAGUGGAACUCCAUGUGUAGCGGUGAAAUGCGUAGAUAUAUGGAAGAACACCAGUGGCGAAGGCGGCUGUCUGGUCUGUAACUGACGCUGAGGCUCGAAAGCAUGGGUAGCGAACAGGAUUAGAUACCCUGGUAGUCCAUGCCGUAAACGAUGAAUGCUAGGUGUUGGAGGGUUUCCGCCCUUCAGUGCCGCAGCUAACGCAUUAAGCAUUCCGCCUGGGGAGUACGACCGCA